GGGUUGUGAGGUUAAGCGACUAAGCGUACACGGUGGAUGCCCUGGCAGUCAGAGGCGAUGAAGGACGUGCUAAUCUGCGAUAAGCGUCGGUAAGGUGAUAUGAACCGUUAUAACCGGCGAUUUCCGAAUGGGGAAACCCAGUGUGUUUCGACACACUAUCAUUAACUGAAUCCAUAGGUUAAUGAGGCGAACCGGGGGAACUGAAACAUCUAAGUACCCCGAGGAAAAGAAAUCAACCGAGAUUCCCCCAGUAGCGGCGAGCGAACGGGGAGGAGCCCAGAGCCUGAAUCAGUGUGUGUGUUAGUGGAA
rnacentral:rRNA from 1 species